UACGUAGGUGGCAAGCGUUGUCCGGAUUUACUGGGCGUAAAGAGCGCGCAGGCGGUCGAUCAAGUCGCGUGUGAAAGCCCCCGGCUCAACUGGGGAGGGUCACGCGAUACUGAUCGACUCGAAGGCAGGAGAGGGUAGUGGAAUUCCCGGUGUAGUGGUGAAAUGCGUAGAUAUCGGGAGGAACACCAGUGGCGAAGGCGACUACCUGGCCUGUUUCUUGACGCUGAGGCGCGAAAGCUAGGGGGGCAAACGGG
rnacentral:rRNA from 1 species